rnacentral:rRNA from 1 species
GUCUUUUAGAAUAUAAUUUAAAGUCUAACCUGCCCACUGAAUUUAUUUGAAGGGCCGCGGUAUUUUGACUGUGCAAAGGUAGCAUAAUCAUUAGUCUUUUAAUUGAAGGCUUGUAUGAAUGGUUGGAUGAAACAUUAACUGUCUCAAUUUAAUAAAAAUAGAAUUUAAUUUUUAAGUUAAAAAGCUUAAAUUAAAUUAGAGGACGAGAAGACCCUAUAGAUCUUAAUAAUUAUGUAUUUAUUAUAAAUAUAGAAAUUUAAUUUUUAUUAUUUAUUUAAUUAUUUUAUUGGGGUGAUAAAUAAAUUUAAUUAACUUUAUUUUAUAUAAACAUUUAUUUAUGAAUAAUUGAUCCAUUAUUAAUGAUUAAAAGAUUAAGUUACCUUAGGGAUAACAGCGUAAUUUUUUUAGAGAGUUCUUAUCGAUAAAAAAGUUUGCGACCUCGAUGUUGAAUUAAAGGUUAAUUUUAGGUGCAGAAGUUUAAAGUUUUGGUCUGUUCGACCAUUAAAUC